AACGAACGCUGGCGGCAUGCCUAACACAUGCAAGUCGAACGAGACCUUCGGGUCUAGUGGCGCACGGGUGCGUAACGCGUGGGAACCUGCCCUUAGGUUCGGAAUAACUCCCCGAAAGGGGUGCUAAUACCGGAUAAUGUCUUCGGACCAAAGAUUUAUCGCCUUUGGAUGGGCCCGCGUUGGAUUAGCCAGUUGGUAGGGUAAAAGCCUACCAAGGCGACGAUCCAUAGCUGGUCUGAGAGGAUGAUCAGCCACACUGGGACUGAGACACGGCCCAGACUCCUACGGGAGGCAGCAGUGGAGAAUAUUGGACGAUGGGCGAAAGCCUGAUCCAGCAAUGCCGCGUGAGUGAUGAAGGCCUUAGGGUUGUAAAGCUCUUUUACCCGGGAUGAUAAUGACGGUACCGGGAGAAGAAGCACCGGCUAACUCCGUG
rnacentral:rRNA from 1 species